rnacentral:rRNA from 1 species
ACGAACGCUGGCGGCGUGCUUAACACAUGCAAGUCGAACGGUGAUGCUCCAGCUUGCUGGAGUGGAUCAGUGGCGAACGGGUGAGUAACACGUGAGCAACCUGCCCCAGACUCUGGAAUAAGCGCUGGAAACGGCGUCUAAUACUGGAUACGAAACUGGCCCGCAUGGGCAUGGUUUGGAAAGUUUUUCGGUUUGGGAUGGGCUCGCGGCCUAUCAGCUUGUUGGUGAGGUAAUGGCUCACCAAGGCGACGACGGGUAGCCGGCCUGAGAGGGCGACCGGCCACACUGGGACUGAGACACGGCCCAGACUCCUACGGGAGGCAGCAGUGGGGAAUAUUGCACAAUGGGCGAAAGCCUGAUGCAGCGACGCCGCGUGAGGGAUGACGGCCUUCGGGUUGUAAACCUCUUUCAGCAGGGGAGAAGCGAAAGUGACGGUACCUGCAGAAGAAGCACCGGCUAACUACGUG